GCAUCGUUACAAAAAUCAACUUGAUUCAUGCAUCUUCAUUAAUGCUCACAUUAACAUCGGUUACCACUUUUCACACGAUCCCACAUCCAAUGAAAUCCCUCAUUCAUUCCUUUUUUAGAAUCUUCCACUAUGAAUAUGAAUUUUUUCUUCCUAAGAAUCAGAAGUUCAUUCCUCCUAAUAAAACACACAAAAAGAGAGAGAGAGAUAGAUAGAGGAGAUGAGCUUCAACUCGAAUCCGGCGGAGCAAGAGCAUCAACAAAGAGCAACAUGUGAGCUUUAUUCGUUAAUUGCCGGUUCAGAUUUUCCCACGGCUAGAUUACAUGGCGGAGUAUCUACAGGGAACGCCUUGCUGUCAUCAUCUCUUGACGAUUGGCUGGAGCACUUUCAUCGUGAGAUCAGCAAUGAAGAUGAGAUGGUGUAGUGGUAUGCGUUUCAAAAUGGCGUUUGAAACAGUGGAUUCAAAAAAGAAUCAGUUGGUUCAUGGUUACUGUCCCGCCGUUUAAGUCGCUGAUCCAAUCCAUUGGCCUGAUUCUUUAUCGCGUCUCCUUCAGGUCAGCCACCCAAAACAAAAGUCUCUUCCUUUAUCAAAACCCGUGUUUGCAAACGCUGAAACGUUGCCGUUUAGGAAUCAAGCUUGGUAAGGUUGGCGUUGAAUGCCCUGCAAGGUGUUGAGUCUUCUCUUAUUAGCAUACAUAAGCUCUCUUCCAUAUUAUGCUCUGAGCCAGCUGAUAGGACAACCCACCAAAUUCCGAGCUUGUGGCAUCGGUUAUCAAGCACUGACGCCUUGGGACAGAUUCUUCGAAACAUAGGCUGCUUUGGUUCUUUGGUCUUUCUUCUCCAUAACUUCGUAGACCCAUUUCACGAACUUCAAGUUGGAAGUUGAGGGACAGAGGGGAGCUGUAAAGUAGGUGAAAAUGAAGAAGCCAAUAACAAGAGCUACUAUACUCUUGUUAAUCAGGCUUUUGCUAUUGCUGUGAGAAAGGUCCUAGAAGGCUAUAUAUCUGAUCUGGAUACAUUAUGUGCAUCUGCAGAACCGAGGCGUUCAUCUAACAUUGUGGUUUUGAAGUAAGUCGGCAGCAACUGUGAAAUCAAAUGAGCAACCAGCUGGCCCUGUUUCUUCUUCUUCUACAAUAGCAACAACCACCAAUGCUGAAAGCUCUUUGUCCACUCCUAUAGUGAAGAGCUUAAGAUGUAUUCUCACCUCAAGCAGUUUACUUUCCUUGAUCUCAAGUUGGCUACAAGAAAUUUCAGACCCGAAAGUCUUCUCAGAGAAGGUGGCUUUGGUUGUGUCUUUAAAGGAUGGGUGGAGGAGAACGGAACUGCUCCUGUUAAGCCUGGCACUGGCCUUACUGUCGCUGUCAAAACCUUGAAUCUUGAUAGCCUUCAGGGUCAUAAAGAGUGGCUUGUAUGAUCCUUUAUAAACACUUCUAAAUUGAUUUAUAAACACUUCUAA